rnacentral:rRNA from 1 species
GUCGUCAGCUCGUGUCGUGAGAUGUUGGGUUAAGUCCCGCAACGAGCGCAACCCUCGCCUUUAGUUGCCAGCAUUCAGUUGGGCACUCUAGAGGGACUGCCGGUGUCAAACCGGAGGAAGGUGGGAUGACGUCAAGUCCUCAUGGCCUUUAUGUCUAGGGCUACACACGUACUACAAUGGCCGGUACAAAGGGCAGCCACUCAGCGAUGAGGCGCUAAUCCCAUAAAGCCGGUCUCAGUCCGGAUCGCAGUCUGCAACUCGACUGCGUGAAGUUGGAAUCGCUAGUAAUCGCGGAUCAGCAUGCCGCGGUCGAAUACGUUCCCGGGCCUU